UGGCAAUGACCAUGGUAACCACAGGGGCUCUCGCUGCUCGGAGGAGAGCUGAGCUGGGUUGUGCUCUCAGCAGUGGUGAGCGUCCUCAGAAUGACAUGAUUGGCCCGCAGCAGAGACGGGCAUCCAUCACUCUGAACACCCAACCCAUGCAGGGAGGGACUCUGGGUCUGGCGGGCAAAGGCAUUCCAGCGUGAAGGCUUAGUCCUUACUCCCCAAGCCUUUCUUCUCUCCUGAUCAUCUUCUGAAGUCUAAAAAUAUUUGCACUACAAGUUUGGUUCUCCAGCCGCUUGAGAGGAAUGUGCUGAACUGGGUAAAGCUCAAGUCUCUGUGAGAAUAAACCAUUCAAUGUCAGUAUUUUCCUAUACUGAAACUGGAAUUGGACCUGGAAAGCAUCAGGUGAGCAAGGUGAAACUACAACAACCUU